rnacentral:lncRNA from 1 species
AUAAGAGGAUUCAACAUAAAAAAGAGAAAUCAUUUUCUUCUCUAAAGUCAAUAAUAUUUUGUAAACUUUUUUUUUUUGUAGAAAUUGUAAACUUCUUUUUAAGAAGCCAAAAUAUUAUUCAUCUAUCUUUGUAACUUUUAUUUACUAUUUUGAUUCUUGCAGAGACUGAUGAAGAUGACUACGAUGGAUAAAUAACAUCUGGAUUGGGAACAGAGGAGUGGAUAAAAUAUUCAAGUUUAAUUCUACAAUCAGAAAAUUGUACUAAUUUUGAGUUAUAAUUCUUUAUUUGCAG